GUGAGACUUGAAAGGAGCGCACCUUAAAAUCGAGGUGAGAGAGAGAACCUGCUACAGUUGUUUAGAUAGGAUUUAGAAAAUUAAGAUUCUGAGUUUAUAAAAUUGAAAACGAUUUCUAAGAUGCAUACUUUCACAUAUCAUUAAGUCCUGCAUUCAGACACGAGUCCUGCAUUCAGACACGAGCCCUGCAUUCAGACAUGAGUGCCAGAAAUGUUCCAAAAAGCGGAAUCAAAGCAGAAUAGCAAAACUAAGGGCUUGUGGAAUGGAAUAUCAGCUGCAGGAUAGUAAAACUUGGGGCUUGUGGAAUGGAAUUUCAGCUGCAGGAUAGUAAAACUUGGGGCUUGUGGAAUGGAAUAUCAGCUGCAGGAUAGUAAAACUUGGGGCUUGUGGAAUGGAAUAUCAGCUGCAGGAUAGUAAAACUUGGGGCUUGUGGAAUGGAAUAGAGCUGAUCACAGGCUAUGGGAUCAAAUGCAAGUUUAAAUGAGCAGGACUUGUCCAUACUACUCUCUCUAUAUGACGAAUGAUAAUGUUAAUCUCAGCCCACCCAUAGCUGUCACUAUUGAUGAGGAAACACCAAUCUAGGUGCUUUAAACCAAAUACAGCAUCUGGUCCUGAUGGGGUUAAACCACAGGUGCUUUGUGAGGUCCUGAUGGGGUUAAACCACAGGUGCUUUGUGAGGUCCUGAUGGGGUUAAACCACAGGUGCUUUGUGAGGUCCUGAUGGGGUUAAACCACAGGUGCUUUGUGAGGUCCUGAUGGGGUUAAACCACAGGUGCUUUGUGAGGUCCUGAUGGGGUUAAACCACAGGUGCUUUGUGAGGUCCUGAUGGGGUUAAACCACAGGUGCUUUGUGAGGUCCUGAUGGGGUUAAACCACAGGUGCUUUGUGAGGUCCUGAUGGGGUUAAACCACAGGUGCUUUGUGAGGUCCUGAUGGGGUUAAACCACAGGUGCUUUGUGAGGUACUUCAUUACGCACAUGUCUAUGUUACUCAUUAUGGCAAAUAUCCCAGUGGGUGCAAAACACCACGCAUAGUCAUGAGAAGUGUCAGUCUGUAAAAAGGCAAAUGCAGGGCAGCAAUUCAGGCCAAUAGCACUGACCUCAGUCACAGAUCAUGAAGUGUUUUGAGAAGGUUGUUCAGGAGCAAGUCUGUGCUUUCCAGGACCCUCUACAAUAUAGAGGAGAAAGAUAGGGGUUGAUGACCCUAUGCCCUGUUUUUGUUUAUCUAUUUUAAACAAUGUUUAUUUUUUUUAACAACCAUAUUUAAGGUGUGACUACUUAAGGUGGACUGAUGGUGUAAUCGUUUAUUGCUCUUUAUUGUUUUAUAUGUAUAUUAUUGAUCCUUCUGAAGUGAUGUAUUGGACCUGUAAGAUGGGACAGAGGUCCUCCACGAUUAGCUAAUGUAUUGAAGGAUGUAUUGUACAGUCAUUUGGUAUUUUAUUAGGAUCGCCAUUAGCUGUUGCAAAAGCUGCAGCUACUCUUCCUGGGGUCCAAACCAAACAUGAAACAUAACACAAGAACACCAUUAGACAAGAACAGCUCAAGGACAGAACUACAUACAUUUUUAAAAAGGCACACAUAGCCUACAUAUCAAUGCAUGCACACUUUUCCAUUGAUUCUAUUGGAUUUAGUCUAUUCCAGUGAAUCUUUUGUCUCUUAUGAACAUCAUUAUGAACUUGUUUCAUCAGUCACUAGUACUCUGCUCGUUGUCUUUGCUGGUAACAUCACAUUUCUCCUCUGGGGAUUAAUUCAUCUCUCGUUAACAGAUGUUCCAUUUCUACAAUUAAGCAAGAUUUUAGUUCUGGGUUAGGGAUGAAUGAAUUUAACAGGACUGUGUCCAUGUACAUCUCAGAUGCUAUCUGGUGAGUGCAAGUUGAUUACCUGUUUGUUGUGAAUAAAAAUGGCUGACCAAAUGGAAGCGUUGAACUAUCCAGGGAUACUUAAAUAGAUUUAGCAAUAGGAACACUUUUUUUGUAUUACACGACACUUGAUGUGACGUCACAGAGGACAAAACAAGCUAUAAAAAAAUGCUUUAUUUCUUUUGUUUAUCUGAAAUAAAUCAUAUUUAACAAUGUAA